rnacentral:tRNA from 1 species
GCCCUAGUAGCUUAAAUAACUAAAGCGCUGGCCUUGUAAACCAGAUAUGGGCCCAGCCCCUAGGACA